ACGGAGGGUGCAAGCAUUAAUCGGAUUUAUUGGGCGUAAAGGGCGCGUAGGCGGAGUCAUAAGUCAGAUGUGAAAUCCUGGAGCUCAACUUCAGAACUGCAUUUGAAACUGUGACCCUAGAGGGUAGGCGGAGAAAACGGAAUUCCACAAGUAGCGGUGAAAUGCGUAGAUAUGUGGAAGAACACCGGUGGCGAAGGCGGUUUUCUAGCUUAUUCCUGACGCUGAGGCGCGAAAGCAAGGGGAUCAAACAGG
rnacentral:rRNA from 1 species